rnacentral:rRNA from 1 species
GACGUAGGGCGCGAGCGUUGUCCGGAUUUAUUGGGCGUAAAGAGCCCGUAGGCGGCUUGUCGCGUCGACCGUGAAAACUUGGGGCUCAACCCCAAGCCUGCGGUCGAUACGGGCAGGCUCGAGUUCGGUAGGGGAGACUGGAAUUCCUGGUGUAGCGGUGAAAUGCGCAGAUAUCAGGAGGAACACCGAUGGCGAAGGCAGGUCUCUGGGCCGAUACUGACGCUGAGGAGCGAAAGCGUGGGGAGCGAACAGG